UACAGAGGGGGCAAGCGUUAUUCGGAAUUAUUGGGCGUAAAGGGCGCGUAGGCGGUUUUUUAAGUCGGAUGUGCAAUCCCUGGGCUCAACCCAGGAACUGCAUCCGAGACUGGAAGGCUAGAGUACUGGAGAGGGUGGUGGAAUUCCUCGUGUAGCGGUGAAAUGCGUAGAUAUCGUGAGGAACACCAGAGGCGAAGGCGGUUACCUGGACAAUUACUGACGCUCAGGCACGAAAGCAUGGGGAGCAAAAGGG
rnacentral:rRNA from 1 species